AUUGAACGCUGGCGGCAGGCCUAACACAUGCAAGUCGAACGAGUGGCGGACGGGUGAGUAAUGUCUGGGAAACUGCCUGAUGGAGGGGGAUACCUACUGGAAACGGUAGCUAAUACCGCAUACCAUCAGAUGUGCCCAGAUGGGAUUAGCUUGUUGGUGGGGUAACGGCUCACAAAGGCGACGAUCCCUAGCUGGUCUGAGAGGAUGACCGGCCAAACUGGAACUGAGACACGGUCCAGACUCCGAGGGGAGGCAGCAGUGGGGAAUAUUGCACAAUGGGGGCAAGCCGAAUGCAGCCAUGCCGCGUGUAUGAAGAAGGCCUUCGGGUUGUAAAGUACGUUCAGCGGGGAGGCGUUACCCGCAGAAGAAGGACCGGCUAACUCCGUGCCAGCCGCCGCGGUAAUUC
rnacentral:rRNA from 1 species